UACGUAGGGGGCAAGCGUUGUCCGGAAUCAUUGGGCGUAAAGAGCGCGUAGGCGGUCCGGUAAGUCGGUUGUGAAAACUGGGGGCUCAACCCUCAGAGGCCGACCGAUACUGCUGGGCUAGAGUCCGGAAGAGGCGAGUGGAAUUCCUGGUGUAGCGGUGAAAUGCGCAGAUAUCAGGAGGAACACCGGUGGCGAAGGCGGGUCUCUGGGCCGUAACUGACGCUGAGGAGCGAAAGCAUGGGGAGCGAACAGG
rnacentral:rRNA from 1 species